rnacentral:rRNA from 2 species
AACGAUGAAACUUUACUGACUUCUUCGGAAAGAUUUAAAGCGGAUUAGUGGCGGACGGGUGAGUAACACGUGAGUAACCUGCCUUACACAAGGGGAUAGCCGUUUGGAAACGACGAAUAAUACCCUAUGAAACUAUCACUUCGCAUGAAGCGAUAGUCAAAGUGUUAGCGGUGUAAGAUGGACUUGCGUCUGAUUAGCUAGUUGGUGAGAAAAAAGCCCACCAAGGCAACGAUCAGUAGCCGGCUUGAGAGAGUGUACGGCCACAUUGGGACUGAGACACGGCCCAGACUCCUACGGGAGGCAGCAGUGGGGAAUUUUGCACAAUGGGGGAAACCCUGAUGCAGCGACGCCGCGUGAUUUAGAAGGCCUUCGGGUUGUAAAAAUCUUUUGUAUAGGAAGAAAAUGACAGUACUAUACGAAUAAGGUCCGGCUAAUUACGUGCCAGCAGCCGCGGUAAUACGUAAGGACCGAGCGUUGUCUGGAAUCAUUGGGCGUAAAGGGUACGUAGGCGGGUCAUUAAGUUAGAAGUCAAAGGCUAUAGCUCAACUAUAGUAAGCUUCUAAAACUGGAGACCUUGAGUAAUGGAAGGGAAAGUGGAUUCCUAGUGUAGCGGUGGAUGCGCAGAUAUUAGGAGGAAUACCGGUGGCGAAGGCGACUUUC